GAUGAACGCUGGCGGCGUGCCUAAUACAUGCCAGUCGAGCGAACGGACGAGAAGCUUGCUUCUCUGAUGUUAGCGGCGGACGGGUGAGUAACACGUGGAUAACCUACCUAUAAGACUGGGAUAACUUCGGGAAACCGGAGCUAAUACCGGAUAAUAUUUUGAACCGCAUGGUUCAAUAGUAAAAGACGGUCUUGCUGUCACUUAUAGAUGGAUCCGCGCUGCAUUAGCUAGUUGGUAAGGUAACGGCUUACCAAGGCAACGAUGCAUAGCCGACCUGAGAGGGUGAUCGGCGACACUGGAGCUGGGACAGGGUCCAGGCUCCUACGGGAGGCAGCAGUAGGGAAUCUUCCGCAAUGGGCGAAAGCCUGACGGAGCAACGCCGCGUGAGUGAUGAAGGUCUUCGGAGCGUAAAACUCUGUUAUUAGGGAAGAACAUAUGUGUAAGUAACUGUGCACAUCUUGACGGUACCUAAUCAGAAAGCCACGGCUAACUACGUG
rnacentral:rRNA from 1 species